ensembl:lncRNA
AGAAUGACUUUCUUAGGCUAUGUGGUGGUAAUGGGCUUCCACACAAAAGUCAAACCUGACUAGGCUGAGAGAGCAUUUCAGACCAGCAAACCAGCUUAGGCUGUUUUAGGCAGUUUUUCUCAGCAGGGGUCUGCUGCUCAUACAGUGAUCAAAGAGUCAGGCGCGGGCUUUCACGUGCCCAAGGCUUCACAAUUCUGACCCUUCCUCCUUUCCUGGAUGUGUUCUCUGUCUGCUCUUCGUAGGACAGUUUAACGAACAUGUAACGGUUCGUGCGGCUCACGCAAAUCGAGAGGGCAGAGCUUAGCUGACUCAGUUACAUCUAUUUCUUCGUGUUUCCUCUCACGCUGGCGAGUGAAUACAGCGCGAGGCGAGGCGAGACGCAGAACAGCACAGAGCGCCAACAGGGAUGUAUACCAAACACAGACAGAAAAACGGACACAUUUCAUCGACACGAUAUGUGCUUGUAAUGCUAUGGGUUUUUCUCUUUAACGGUUUACUGGAAAUUGUAAGCGGAAAUCCUCGGGAGGAAGUGGAAGAUAGAGGACAGAGAGUAGCGGCACACUGGAUCUCUCACAGAACAGCAAAGCGAGAGGCUGAAACAGCAUUUAAGGUCCAGCCUGUGAAUAUGUCACCAUCUGUACAAAGGAAUAACCAAUCACAUUGCCAUCUUUCAUGGAAAUGGUAAGAUAGUCAUUUAUGGUAGUCAUUUAACUGGAACAUGAAUUGCUUUAUAUUGCUUUAUAUGGCACAACAAAACAAACAGAUAUUCGUUUUCUAUAAGGGUUGGCGAUUGCCUGCUACAGCGACUGUUGCCAGUGCAGCUUGAACAGAGCUCAGCUUUAUGCAGAUGAGGACCAAAGCGACAACUACCAGUGUGAGCGAGGAGAUUCUCGAAACCAAAAGAUUGUAGGCUCUGCGAUCUCAAGCCAUUUAAUAGCUGUGAGUGUGAACUCAGCUUUGUGGUUUCACCCUCACCACUGGUGUCUCAAAUGAGUCUUGUCUUCAGAUUUUGAUAGAAAAACACAUGUUUGUGCACUCACUCACAGGCCAUGAGAAUCUGGAUGUUUGAUUGAACUUCUGGCUCUUCUGGUGAUGAUGUAAUGAGUCACUGUGCUGUUUGGGGCUUGGUUGAAUGCAUGUUAGGCAGAUGUAAUUUUAUGUGCUGAAACAAAGACACACACACACACACACACAUACACAGACACUCUUCCCUAAGGAUGGGGGCAGGGGAACAGGCUGCCUGCCAGAGCACUGAGUGUAUGAAGGAAAAAUGUUAGCUACUUAUAGUAAAAGAAAAUCACUCUCUGGCUUUUUGUGUUUUACCAAGCAUUGAGCAUAUGGUUUAGUUUUUCCAUUUUGUUUUCCAAAUUCCCCAAACAGAUAUGUGUCUAUCACAGGUUUUCUUUUUGCUUAUAAAUAGAUGGCUAUAACACAGUUGCAGUUUGAUAUGUCGCAGACAUUUGAUAUGUCGCAGGCAUAUAUAAAAUUAAUUUAUCUUUUAUUGUGUAUGCAACUCGUCUCAACAUUUCACUUGGAAUUACGGAAUUUACAAAAAGUAUUUGUACCUGUAAGACUUUGCGAAGAAUCAAAAUCAAGUGACAUUUAUUUGAAAGAAACAUACUUUUAUUUUUAGUUAUUUUUUACAUGUAUUUAUUUAUUUGGAAAGGGACCAUGUACAAUAUUAAACAUGCAUUUUUGGAAAUAAAUGUGGAUAUAAAAUAACAGAACAAAUUCUGCAUAAUAUAUACUAUUCAAUAUAUUGUACAUAUGCACACACAUAUCUGAUCGGAGCAUAAAU